rnacentral:rRNA from 1 species
UACGUAGGCAGCAAGCGUUGUUCGGAGUUACUGGGCGUAAAGGGUGUGUAGGCGGUUGUUUAAGUUUGGGGUGAAAUCUCCCGGCUCAACUGGGGGGGUGCGCCGAAUACUGAAUGACUAGAGUGCGGGAGAGGAAAGUGGAAUUCCUGGUGUAGCGGUGAAAUGCGUAGAUAUCAGGAGGAACACCGGUGGUGUAGACGGCUUUCUGGACCGUAACUGACGCUGAGACACGAAAGCGUGGGUAGCAAACAGG